UACGGAGGGGGCUAGCGUUGUUCGGAAUUACUGGGCGUAAAGAGCGCGUAGGCGGUUUGACAAGUUGGAAGUGAAAGCCCAGGGCUUAACCCUGGAAUUGCUUUCAAAACUGUCUGACUAGAGAGUGGUAGAGGAUGGUGGAAUUCCUAGUGUAGAGGUGAAAUUCGUAGAUAUUAGGAGGAACACCGGUGGCGAAGGCGGCCAUCUGGGCCAUUUCUGACGCUGAGGCGCGAAAGCGUGGGGAGCAAACAGG
rnacentral:rRNA from 1 species